rnacentral:rRNA from 1 species
UGCAGUCGACGGUAACAGGAAGCAGCUUGCUGUUUCGCUGACGAGUGGCGGACGGGUGAGUAAUGUCUGGGAAACUGCCUGAUGGAGGGGGAUAACUACUGGAAACGGUAGCUAAUACCGCAUAACGUCGCAGGACCAAGGAGGGGGACCUUCGGGCCUCUUGCCAUCGGAUGUGCCCAGAUGGGAUUAGCUAGUAGGUGGGGUAACGGCUCACCUAGGCGACGAUCCCUAGCUGGUCUGAGAGGAUGACCAGCCACACUGGAACUGAGACACGGUCCAGACUCCUACGGGAGGCAGCAGUGGGGAAUAUUGCACAAUGGGCGCAAGCCUGAUGCAGCCAUGCCGCGUGUAUGAAGAAGGCCUUCGGGUUGUAAAGUACUUUCAGCGGGGAGGAAGGGAGUAAAGUUAAUACCUUUACUCAUUGACGUUACCCGCAGAAGAAGCACCGGCUAACUCCGUGCCAGCAGCCGCGGUAAUACGGAGGGUGCAAGCGUUAAUCGGAAUUACUGGGCGUAAAGCGCACGCAGGCGGUUUGUUAAGUCAGAUGUGAAAUCCCCGGGCUCAACCUGGGAACUGCAUCUGAUACUGGCAAGCUUGAGUCUCGUAGAGGGGGGUAGAAUUCCAGGUGUAGCGGUGAAAUGCGUAGAGAUCUGGAGGAAUACCGGUGGCGAAGGCGGCCCCCUGGACGAAGACUGACGCUCAGGUGCGAAAGCGUGGGGA